rnacentral:rRNA from 1 species
AACGAACGCUGGCGGCGUGCCUAACACAUGCAAGUCGUGCGAGAAAGUUCCUUCGGGAGCGAGUAAAGCGGCGCACGGGUGAGUAACACGUAGGUAACCUGCCCCCCAGUCUGGAACAACUAGAGGAAACUCUAGCUAAUGCCGGAUGAGACCACGAUCCCUUCGGGGGUUGCGGCCAAAGAUGGCCUCUACUUGUAAGCUAUCGCUGAGGGAUGGGCCUGCGGGCCAUUAGCUUGUUGGUGAGGUAACGGCUCACCAAGGCUGUGAUGGCUAGCUGGUCUGAGAGGAUGACCAGCCACACUGGGACUGAGACACGGCCCAGACUCCUACGGGAGGCAGCAGUGGGGAAUAUUGCGCAAUGGGCGAAAGCCUGACGCAGCGACGCCGCGUGGGUGAUGAAGGCC